rnacentral:lncRNA from 1 species
CAUGUGUGACAACGAUGUUGUUACUGGAAUGUUUGAUACCGUGCAACAGGUUCUGUUGCUGAAACUGGCGAAGAUGCCGAAACGAAUGACAGUGACCGAAGACUGGUCCCCUGCCUAUUGAACAUAAAUCCACUGGCGGAACUAACUCACAGACUGGUAGAGCGAAUACAAACGAAGACUUUCAGUAUGGAUUUUAUUUUCACUUUAAUGAACGGAUGAUGUCAGUUCAAAAGGCUGACUCCGACUGAAGAAUUAACUUCAGUCGAAACAUU